rnacentral:rRNA from 1 species
UAAUACAUGCAAGUCGAACGAAGUAGCAAUACUUAGUGGCAGACGGGUGAGUAACAUGUAGGUAUCUACCCUUUGGCCUGGAAUAACACGAGGAAACUUGUGCUAAUACCGGAUAAGUCUUUACGGAGAAAGCUUUAUGCACCAUUGGAUGAGCCUGCACUUGAUUAGUUUGUUGGUGGGGUAAUGGCCUACCAAGACAAUGAUCAAUAGCUGAUUUGAGAGGAUGAUCAGCCACAUUGGGACUGAGACACGGCCCAAACUCCUACGGGAGGCAGCAGUAGGGAAUCUUGCACAAUGGAGGAAACUCUGAUGCAGCGAUGCCGCGUGAGUGAAGGAGGCCUUUGGGUUGUAAAGCUCUUUCGUCGGGGAAGAAAAUGACUGUACCCGAAUAAGAAGGUCCGGCUAACUUCGUGCCAGCAGCCGCGGUAAUACGAAGGGACCUAGCGUAGUUCGGAAUUACUGGGCUUAAAGAGUUCGUAGGUGGUUAAAAAAGUUGGUGGUGAAAUCCCAGAGCUUAACUCUGGAACUGCCAUCAAAACUUUUUAGCUAGAGUAUGAUAGAGGAAAGCAGAAUUUCUAGUGUAGAGGUGAAAUUCGUAGAUAUUAGAAAGAAUACCGAUUGCGAAGGCAGCUUUCUGGAUCAUUACUGACACUGAGGAACGAAAGCAUGGGUAGCGAAGAGGAUUAGAUACCCUCGUAGUCCAUGCCGUAAACGAUGUGUGUUAGACGUUGGAAAUUUAUUUUCAGUGUCGCAGCGAAAGCGAUAAACACACCGCCUGGGGAGUACGACCGCAAGGUUAAAACUCAAAUGAAUUGACGGGGACCCGCACAAGUAGUGGAGCAUGUGGUUUAAUUCGAAGAUACGCGCAGAACCUUACCAACACUUGACAUGUUCGUCGCGACUCUAAGAGAUUAGAGUUUUCGGUUCGGCCGGACGAAACACAGGUGCUGCAUGGCUGUCGUCAGCUCGUGUCGUGAGAUGUUGGGUUAAGUCCCGCAACGAGCGCAACCCUUACUUUUAGUUGCCAUCAUUUAGUUGGGCACUCUGAAAGAACUGCCAGUGAUAAGCUGGAGGAAGGUGGGGAUGACGUCAAGUCCUCAUGGCCCUUAUGUGUUGGGCUACACACGUGCUACAAUGGUAUCUACAACAGGAAGCAAGAUGGCAACAUUAAGCAAAUCCCAAAAAGAUACCUCAGUUCGGAUUGCACUCUGCAACUCGAGUGCAUGAAGCUGGAAUUACUAGUAAUCGUGGAUCAGCGUGCCACGGUGAAUACGUUCCCGGGUCUUGUACACACCGCCCGUCACACCAUGGGAGUUGGUUCUACCUUAAGGCAAGGUUUCAAACCCUUGACCACGGUAUAGUCAGCGACUGGGGUG